AGAGAGAAAGGAAGCACUUGACAGAGUUCAGCACACACUCCUGGGAAAGAAACUAAGAUGGCAAACUAUACUUUACCACAGAAAAUACUUCUUCGAUCCCUUGUGAGCUGAGUGAAAGAUGUACUUAUUGGUGAUAACAGAAGCAGAAGAAGACACCGUGUUAAAGUGAGAAUUUCCAAUAUUUUGUGAUUGUUUUUUGUUUUUGUUUGUUUGUGUUUGGGAGACUAAGUUUAUAAUAAUGCUUUUCAGGAGCAGACAGGUGA
rnacentral:lncRNA from 1 species